UACAGAGGGGGCAAGCGUUGUUCGGAAUUACUGGGCGUAAAUUGCGCGUAGGCGGCCUGUUAAGUCGGACGUGAAAUCCCUCGGCUCAACCGGGGAACUGCGUCCGAAACUGGCGGGCUUGAAUUCGGGAGAGGGAUGUGGAAUUCCAGGUGUAGCGGUGAAAUGCGUAGAUAUCUGGAGGAACACCGGUGGCGAAGGCGGCAUCCUGGACCGACAUUGACGCUGAGGCGCGAAAGCCAGGGGAGCAAACGGG
rnacentral:rRNA from 1 species